rnacentral:tRNA from 1 species
GUAGUAUAGUGGUGAGUAUCCGCGCCUGUCACGUGCGAGACCGGGGUUCGAUUCCCCGC